AUUGAACGCUGGCGGCAUGCUUUACACAUGCAAGUCGAACGGUAACAGGCCGCAAGGUGCUGACGAGUGGCGAACGGGUGAGUAAUGCAUCGGAACGUGCCCAGUCGUGGGGGAUAACGCAGCGAAAGCUGUGCUAAUACCGCAUACGAUCUAUGGAUGAAAGCGGGGGACCGUAAGGCCUCGCGCGAUUGGAGCGGCCGAUGUCAGAUUAGGUAGUUGGUGGGGUAAAGGCCCACCAAGCGAAGGAUCUGUAGCUGGUCUGAGAGGACGACCAGCCACACUGGGAGUGCGACACGGGCCAGACUCCUACGGGAGGCAGCAGUGGGGAAGUUUGGACAAUGGGCGCAAGCCUGAUCCAGCAAUGCCGCGUGCAGGAAGAAGGCCUUCGGGUUGUAAACUGCUUUUGUACUGAACGAAACGGUCUGGGUUAAUACCCUGGGCUAAUGACGGUACCGUAAGAAUAAGCACCGGCUAACUACGUGCCAGCGGCCGCAGUAA
rnacentral:rRNA from 1 species